rnacentral:rRNA from 1 species
UACGUAGGGUGCAAGCGUUGUCCGGAAUUAUUGGGCGUAAAGAGCUUGUAGGCGGUUUGUUGCGUCGGCUGUGAAAUCCCGAGGCUCAACCUCGGGUCUGCAGUCGAUACGAGCAAACUAGAGUGUUGCAGGGGAGACUGGAAUUCCUGGUGUAGCGGUGAAAUGCGCAGAUAUCAGGAAGAACACCCGUGGCGAAAGCGGCUCUCUGGAACGGUACUGACGCUGAGACGCGAAAGCGUGGGGAGCGAACAGG